GGGCUCACACAAGCGGUGGAGCAUGUGGCUUAAUUCGAAGCAACGCGAAGAACCUUAUCCUAGGUUUGACAUACACGGAUUAGCUCUAAGAGACUAGAGUGACGCCUUCGGGUGGAACGUGAACAGGUGCUGCAUGGCUGUCGUCAGCUCGUGCUGUGAAGUGUCGGGUUAAGUCCCUUAACGAGCGCAACCCUUAUCGUUAGUUGCUAGCAGGUAAUGCUGAGGACUCUAGCGAGACUGCCGGUGUUAAACCGGAGGAAGGUGGGGAUGACGUCAAGUCCGCAUGGCCUUUAUGCCUAGGGCUGCACACGUGCUACAAUGGCAAGUACAGAACGACGCAAUACCGCAAGGU
rnacentral:rRNA from 1 species